GUCUGUGUGGAUCCUGGUGGCUGUGCACCAGAGCAGUUUCCUUGACUGAUACGAGUUGGCAUCCAUUGGAAGAGUUUGUGAAACCCCCUUUCUGCCCAGAGCUCCAGGACCAAUGCAUCUUCCCACCACCUUAAACCACUGGCACAGAUUGUUGACCAAAAUGUACACACAGGGAGA
rnacentral:lncRNA from 1 species